AGAGUUUGAUCCUGGCUCAGAUUGAACGCUGGCGGCAGGCCUAACACAUGCAAGUCGAGCGGAUGAGUGGAGCUUGCUCCAUGAUUCAGCGGCGGACGGGUGAGUAAUGCCUAGGAAUCUGCCUAUUAGUGGGGGACAACGUUUCGAAAGGAACGCUAAUACCGCAUACGUCCUACGGGAGAAAGCAGGGGACCUUCGGGCCUUGCGCUAAUAGAUGAGCCUAGGUCGGAUUAGCUAGUUGGUGAGGUAAUGGCUCACCAAGGCGACGAUCCGUAACUGGUCUGAGAGGAUGAUCAGUCACACUGGAACUGAGACACGGUCCAGACUCCUACGGGAGGCAGCAGUGGGGAAUAUUGGACAAUGGGCGAAAGCCUGAUCCAGCCAUGCCGCGUGUGUGAAGAAGGUCUUCGGAUUGUAAAGCACUUUAAGUUGGGAGGAAGGGCAUUAACCUAAUACGUUAGUGUUUUGACGUUACCGACAGAAUAAGCACCGGCUAACUUCGUGCCAGCAGCCGCGGUAAUACGAAGGGUGCAAGCGUUAAUCGGAAUUACUGGGCGUAAAGCGCGCGUAGGUGGUUUGUUAAGUUGGAUGUGAAAGCCCCGGGCUCAACCUGGGAACUGCAUCCAAAACUGGCAAGCUAGAGUAUGGCAGAGGGUGGUGGAAUUUCCUGUGUAGCGGUGAAAUGCGUAGAUAUAGGAAGGAACACCAGUGGCGAAUGCGACCACCUGGGCUAAUACUGACACUGAGGUGCGAAAGCGUGGGGAGCAAACAGGAUUAGAUACCCUGGUAGUCCACGCCGUAAACGAUGUCGACUAGCCGUUGGGAUCCUUGAGAUCUUAGUGGCGCAGCUAACGCAUUAAGUCGACCGCCUGGGGAGUACGGCCGCAAGGUUAAAACUCAAAUGAAUUGACGGGGCCCGCACAAGCGGUGAGCAUGUGGUUUAAUUCGAAGCAACGCGAAGACCUUACCAGCCUUGACAUGCAG
rnacentral:rRNA from 1 species